CCUACUGGAGGCAGCAGUAAGGAAUAUUGGUCAAUGGGCGAGAGCCUGAACCAGCCAUGCCGCGUGCAGGAAGACAGCCCUCUGGGUCGUAAACUGCUUUUAUUCGGGAAUAAACCUACUUACGUGUAAGUAGCUGAAUGUACCGAAGGAAUAAGGAUCGGCUAACUCCGUGCCAGCAGCCGCGGUAAUACGGAGGAUCCAAGCGUUAUCCGGAUUUAUUGGGUUUAAAGGGUGCGUAGGCGGCCUGUUAAGUCAGGGGUGAAAGACGGUAGCUCAACUAUCGCAGUGCCCUUGAUACUGAUGGGCUUGAAUGAACUAGAGGUAGGCGGAAUGUGACAAGUAGCGGUGAAAUGCAUAGAUAUGUCACAGAACACCGAUUGCGAAGGCAGCUUACUAUGGUUUUAUUGACGCUGAGGCACGAAAGCGUGGGGAUCAAACAGGAUUAGAUACCCUGGUAGUCCACGCCCUAAACGAUGAACACUCGCUGUUGGCGAUACACAGUCAGCGGCUAAGCGAAAGCGUUAAGUGUUCCACCUGGGGAGUACGCCCGCAAGGGUGAAACUCAAGGAAUUGACGGCGNGAGACGAGACGAGACGACGACGAGGGAGGAGG
rnacentral:rRNA from 1 species